CUGGCGGCAGGCCUAACACAUGCAAGUCGAGCGGAAACGAUCCUAGCUUGCUAGGAGGCAACGAGCGGCGGACGGGUGAGUAAUGCAUAGGAAUCUGCCCGGUAGUGGGGGAUAACUUGAGGAAACUCAAGCUAAUACCGCAUACGCCCUACGGGGGAAAGCAGGGGCUCUUCGGACCUUGCGCUAUCGGAUGAGCUUAUGUCGGAUUAGCUGGUUGGUGAGGUAACGGCUCACCAAGGCGACGAUCCGUAGCUGGUCUGAGAGGAUGAUCAGCCACAUCGGGACUGAGACACGGCCCGAACUCCUACGGGAGGCAGCAGUGGGGAAUAUUGGACAAUGGGGGCAACCCUGAUCCAGCCAUGCCGCGUGUGUGAAGAAGGCCCUCGGGUUGUAAAGCACUUUCAGCGAGGAAGAAUGCUUGUCGGUUAAUACCCGGCAAGGGAGACAUCACUCGCAGAAGAAGCACCGGCUAACUCCGUGCCAGCAGCCGCGGUAAUACGGAGGGUGCGAGCGUUAAUCGGAAUUACUGGGCGUAAAGCGUGCGUAGGCGGCUUGAUAAGCCGGUUGUGAAAGCCCCGGGCUCAACCUGGGAACGGCAUCCGGAACUGUCAGGCUAGAGUGCAGGAGAGGAAGGUAGAAUUCUCGGUGUAGCGGUGAAAUGCGUAGAGAUCGGGAGGAAUACCAGUGGCGAAGGCGGCCUUCUGGACUGACACUGACGCUGAGGGUACGAAAAGCGUGGGGUUAGCAAACAGGAUUAGAAUACCCUGGUAGUCAACGCCCGUAAAACGAUGUCAGACUAGCCCGUUGGGAGUCCCUCG
rnacentral:rRNA from 1 species